GCCAAGGUGGCGAAAUGGUAUACGCGCACGCUUUAGGAGCGUGUCCCUCACGGGAUGGAGGUUCAAGUCCUCUCCUUGGCA
rfam:Microgenomates bacterium GW2011_GWF2_47_9 TY18_C0040, whole genome shotgun sequence.